CCUCUGGCCCAUCUCUCUCGCAGCUCUCUUGACCUCCUCCGGAACCGCGUCUUUCUCGGCCUGAGACACUUGGUACACUGUGUGGCCUGCGUCCAGCCGGUAAGGACCUCCUUUGCCACCCAGACCUGCCGUGUCUCUUCCCCCUGGAAGGAAAGCAUGGAAAGCCAGGCGGUGGAGAUCAGGUUACUCUGCCAGUGACGGGAAGCAGCUUGCAGCCAGCAAGUGGUAGCAUGCACAGAUGCUGACAAUGAAGCAGUAAAAGUGAGAACAGCUGCAAAGGUGGUACUGGAAACUGGUUAAUGCUUAAGGGUACCGAAGAAAUCAUUGCCUAGGAAAGGAAAUCCAGAUGAAAUCAAAUACAGAUCACAACAAUUUCAAAAGAAAACUGAAUCAACAUAGUGAGAAAACACUAUAAAACUUCAGAAGAAAACAAAAUGAUUUCCAUUUGGGAGAGAUUAACCAAUGCUUCGUAGAGGAGAAGACAUCUGAGUUUUUGAAAAUCAGCAGGAUCUUUGCAGGCAAAGGUAAGGGGGAAGAGGCACUAUAGGAAGCAAACAAGAAAAAUGGCUAUGGAGGAGAAGGGGAUGUUGAAUUUAGGAAGGGUGAGAAACUAUACUUUGAAAGAACUAGAACUAUAAAAGGAGUUUGGAGCCAGAUAUUUCGUGGUUUUGAGUAUUGUCCUACGAAGGGGAUUUUUUAUGGGAGGCAAGGUAGAGCCAUUUCCAUCUUUUAGAAGAAAAAUAAAAUUAUGAGAUUCUUUCUAAGAUUUACCUCACCGCUGAUAGAUCAGAAACUGCCAUGGAAUUGAAAUGAGUACCUAAAGAAUCAGAAAUGUAAAAACAUGAAGAACAUGAAAGCCAAGGUUAGAGAAGGCAUCCUGUGUGAAAAUCAGCCAGAGUGCUGGCUUUUUAUUUGAUAAGGAAUACAUAAUGCAUUAGAAUUUUGGUAAGGGCAAAAAAUAUAGACUGGAACACAGCAAAGCUAAGUAUAAAAACUUUACCAGACUGUUAUUGUUUGGUAAAAUGACACAAAAGGCUGGCUUAAUAAAAAAGUUGACAAACUCCUAGCAAAUGAUUUUACUGAACUAUAUUCAUGUAGAAAUGAUUAUAAAUUAUUCAUUGUGCCUCAUUAAAUAUAAAUUAACUUUUGAUGACUUGCUUUGAAUUUUUAUAUAAUAUCAGAAACCAAGAUAUUAUGAUAUGUAAAUGAUUAAAUUUUCAUUUCUAAAAAGAAAACAAUGCAUAUUUUAAAAAUAAUUCUUCUGUAAAGGCACUUGAACAUUUUAGAACACCACAUUGCUAAAAUAUUUUUCCCCUCAAAUAUCUGAUAAAUGCAAGUCUCUCAAAACUCAUGUAUUCUGAUACAAAAACAGAGAUUUAUUCUUAAGGACUUUUUUAGACAAGAAGAAAGGAGGUCCUUUAGGCUGACUCUAUAAUGUCAAAUUUUCACAAUAAAUAUUUUGUAUAUCAAAUGGAAUACGAUUCAACAAGUCAAAAGCAAAGCAGAUAUGGGAGGUGGGGAAGGCAGGAAGUUUAUUCUUAAACUACAGCUGGGACAGAAAAAGCAUCACUAGCUAGAAAAUAAAUAGCUAUCUCUCUUUUUGUUAAAUAGAAAGUCAUGCUAUGAUUAAAAACAAACAAACAAAAAAGACCAGCAUGAAAUUCCUAAUUGCAUGAAAGGUAUAUAUGUUAUAAUUACAGUUGGUUGAAAAUAAUGCGUGUUACAGCACACUAAAGUGGUUCUGCAAUAUGCAGCACUGUAUCUUACUUAAGUGACCAUCAAACAUGCAUAAUUUGAGGGCAGCCUAUCCCAUUUGGCUCAAAGGCAGUAAUUCUGCUUCACUUACUGGAAAGACUAUGUGCUGUGCCACAAAAUCCCACACAGAAAAUAAAAACGAUUAAAAAAAUUAAUAUUAUUAUAAAUAAGACACAGCCACUUACUUUAUUUUGCUAUGACAAAUAGUGUCUAUGGGACUGUUUUUAGCCUCCCAACAGAUGUCUAAUAUCAUAGAUUCUUAGGAAAGAUAAUAUUAUGUGCAAGGAAAAGGUGAGAUUGGUCUAAAUAAAGAUUAUAUACCUUGAGAUACUUCAAAAUCAACACUAAUUUUGCAUUUCCUCAUUGUCAAAGUUGCCACUGGUAACGGAACAAUCUUCUGAAAUAUCUCUAGAAACAAUUUCAAUUGUUGAAAAGUUUCUUUCAUGGACUUCAGCCAGUUUCUAGAUGGCAACAGAAGGUUAUGUGGACUGUAUCUAUCCACAGGCAGUUGUAUUAAAAGCUUUCAUUACAUUUUAUUGUAUAAUUAUACCAAUCCACUAUUGGCUUCUCUGUCAAUAUUUAAUCCCUAAAGCUUCACUUCCAAUUGACUUUUUAUUUUUGAGUAGUUAUCACUUAAUGUUUUAGAAAGAGAGAAAGGAAAGAGCCUGAUCAAUUGCUACAAAUGAUAGUUCACUUAGUUUCAAAAUAAAUCAUAUGAUUAAAAUAUGCAUUUUCCCAGGUGGCUGUCAUUUUGCAUUUGUGUGAAAACAUCAGUAACACUACCCUAGGAGAGCUGAGAGUCCAUAGUCCUCCACCUACCACCUGCCCUUUCCCUUGCCUGUCUUUUCUUUUUUUAAUUGUCUUGUUUUGCAAGAUGGAAGUUGAGAAGGUACAUUAAAUAUUGAGAGGCAUGAAAUACCAUUAUCAAUGAAGCAGAUCAUUUUCAAAGCUAUUGAAUAAGAACCUGAGUUACUAUAACUUGAAAAGUACACAUUCUUAACAAAAGAACUCUUGUAGAUCAUCAGGACUCAGGAGAGCACAGAGAAAGAAAGCACACAACCUUCACACCACUUCUUAGCAAAGCACAGCUUUGCAGAGUACCAUGUUUGCCAAAGAAUACUACAGGUGGCUUUGUACCCACCUCAUACCUCCCCCAAAUGGAAGCAGCCAAGAGUCUAACCAUAAAAUCUUUCUAAGAUCUUAGCACAGACAUUAAAUCUAUGCAAACAUGUUUGAAAAAAAUUGAAGUUAGCCAAAGUAUUCAAACAGUUCUAUUUAGAAUUUAACCAGCCACCUUGGUCUAACUGCCACUCCGUGGCCUGGUAAAUGCAAGCAUGUGCAAAGUUAUGUACCAUUUAAUUAGCUAAAUACUAAUCAGGACUUAAUUAUAAUUAGAAAUUUAAAAAUAAUUAGCUUUUCAUUAUUCUGUCUUAGUAAUAAUGCUACCAGUCUCUGAUCCUAUCAUGUGGCACCAGAUCUAGCUAAAUGGGCUACUUAACUAUUUACUCUCCAGUGCGUAGUCCCUAGAUUCUAUUUAACUCAUCUAUUUCCUUCACUAAAGAAAUGUAAGCUCUCAGAAGAAAUUCAGUCAAUUUGUCUCAGAAUCCCCUAAAAAUAAUCCAACUAAGCCUGAAUUUUAAGUUCAAGUUAUUUCUAAAGCAUUGUGACUACUCAUUAGGAAUUUAUUUUAAAUAGUCCUCUAAAAUCCAGUAAUUCAUUCAGCAAAGAUUUGUUGGAUGUCUACCUCACGCAAGGCAUCAGAAAGAACGCAAAAAUAACGAAGAUUCUUCUCAAGGAGCUCUCUUUUUCAUAGAGAUGGCAGGCAGACCAAUAAGUCUAACAGAAGUCCAUAAGAAAUCUAUAAAUCACCACCUAUGACAGUUCAGAGAGUGGAGUCAAACCUUUAAGCUGUAGUGUUUGGGAAUACUUUAUUAAAGAAGCAUAUUAUAGAAUAUUACAUCUAGAGGGAACCUAGAAAAUACCCAUUCCAACUUUAUAAUUUUACAAAUAAGAAAUAAGAAAAGAAAAGGCCCUUUUAGGAGGAAUAGCAAUUUAAUCAAUACCACAUAGAAAGUUAAAAAACCUUUACAAGAAGGUAGGUCUUUGGAUUCCCAGCUUACUUCCUCUCCAUAUACCACACUGUGAAUUGAAGGGCUUCAGACAGGCAAAGAAUAGGGGAAAGAAGAGUUCAAGUGCUCUGGCCAAGAUAUAUUGGCCAGAGGCUGGGAUAUAUUUGGGAAACAAGAGAGUUUAAUUUACCUAAGGACGAGAGUUUGAGGGGAGGAAUGAGACUGAAAGCACAGUGGGACAUCACAUGACGGUCUAAGAUAGUUAUGACUUUUUCACUAGAAAACACAGGUAACAGAAUUUAUUUACAAAAUCUAAGUGUUCCUUCAAUGUUGAUACUAUGAUAUGACACUAAUGGUCUUAGAGGUUUAUAAUGAAAAAACAGAAAACUCUUCUGAUAUGAAAAAGGCCAGCUAACUGUAGCAAAUUAUACUGAAUACAAGAUUCCUUUGUCAACUCUUCUUUCUCCAAUGUGGAGGCUGGCAGAACAAGGGUUGAACUGCUGACCACAGAUAAAGUUUGUGAAAGGACUGACAGAAGUUUGUAUAACCCAUGGCCCUGCCUUGCUGCUCCUGAGGAUCCUCAACCUGCAGGAUAUACCCAGCUGCCUCCUGAACUAACUCCAGACAGGUUUGAAAAUCAAUGGGAUUGCCCAUCCCCACCAGAUGCAACCAAGUAUCUAUAGAGUCGUAGCUGCUUUUUCCUCCACCCCAUUCACCCCAUUGCCUAGCCCUUGGGUCCCUUCUUUGGGACUGGAAACAGAUGAGAGGUAGCAUAUUAGAUUUUACAACACCAACGUUUAUAUAGCACUAUAGAAUUUUUUUUUUUUUUUUUAGAUAGAGUCUCGCUUUGUUGCCAGGCUA